rnacentral:misc_RNA from 1 species
AACGCAUCUUGCGCUCUUUGGUAUUCCGAAGAGCAUGCCUGUUUGAGUGUCAUGAAACUCUCACCUCCAGCCUUCUUUAAUUAGAGGUGUUGGGGCGUGGACGUGAGUGCUGCUGGUGCCCUAGUUGCAUCGGCUCACUUGAAAUACAUUAGCUGAAUCCUCUAGAGGUGGUUCUACUCGACGUGAUAAGAUCUCCGUCGAGGACAGUGCAACUUGUUGUGCUGGCCGCCGCUAGCUGUUGAUACGCUUCUAAUUAGCGCAGACUUCGAGUGCUGGCAACUUUUGACAACUUGGCCUCAAAUCAGGUAGGACUACCCACUGAACUUAA